AGGAAGAACAUCCAUAGUGGCAGCGGCCAGCUCUGGAGCCCUGGAUUCAGCUCCCGCAUUAACUACGGAGCUCUCAGGUGCAGGGGCCUGGAUGCUCCAGGGGUGG
rnacentral:pre_miRNA from 1 species